CAUCUUCUUCCUUGCUUUUCUCUCAGACCCGACACCCCCAACCACUUUUCGUCAAUCUCAUCCCCACACCUCCUCCAUCAACCUCUCCUCCAUCCAUCACAACCGCAUCUCCUUCCCCGUCGAUCCCACUCCCACCCUCUCCUUCGUCGUCCCCACCGUAAUCCCUUCUUCGACUUUCUUCCGGACCUCUGUUAAUCUUCUC
rnacentral:lncRNA from 1 species